rnacentral:rRNA from 1 species
AUUGAACGCUGGCGGCAUGCCUUACACAUGCAAGUCGAACGGUAACAGGUUAAGCUGACGAGUGGCGAACGGGUGAGUAAUGUAUCGGAACGUGCCCAGUCGUGGGGGAUAACUGCUCGAAAGAGCAGCUAAUACCGCAUACGACCUGAGGGUGAAAGCGGGGGAUCGCAAGACCUCGCGCGAUUGGAGCGGCCGAUAUCAGAUUAGGUAGUUGGUGAGGUAAAGGCUCACCAAGCCGACGAUCUGUAGCUGGUCUGAGAGGACGACCAGCCACACUGGGACUGAGACACGGCCCAGACUCCUACGGGAGGCAGCAGUGGGGAAUUUUGGACAAUGGGCGCAAGCCUGAUCCAGCCAUGCCGCGUGCGGGAAGAAGGCCUUCGGGUUGUAUACCGCUUUUGUCAGGGAAGAAAAGGUUCUGGCUAAUACCUGGGACUCAUGACGGUACCUGAAGAAUAAGCACCGGCUAACUACGUG